AACUGGGCGAAGGGUCAGGAGACUGACCUCACCUCUUUGCCCCACCCCUGGCUUGGAAAGAUGGGAUUGGAGGAGAACAGAAUGAAGACAAGCCCAUCCGAUCCAGAAGCCCUCUCGGGAACAUUGGAGAGAAACUGAAGAAUGCUGCAAAAGAUGAUGCAAUGACCUGUGUUAAGAAGGAAAAUGACACCAAAUGUUUUGUGUUGAGCUACAAAGUGUGUAUCUGGUAAAUGACCCCAUGACCUUAAGCUGGUCCAGGAAGGGUAUAUAAGAACAGCUCUGAACAGCAGAGACAGAUUGAGAGAUUCGACAGCAGCUGGGGCAGAGGACAAGAAGAGACAGAGCAGAUUUGGAGGGGUCAUCCCCCGUCCUGCUGGAUGGGGGAUGACAGGCAGUUUUUUGGAGAGAAGCAGAGCUAGACAAGUUUUCUCUAAAGCUUCACGAGUGGGGGCUCUGAUCAUUAAUUGCACAGAGGACGCCCAAACCAGGAUCUAAUACCAUAAUACUCACCGACAUCCCCAUCGAACCCUGAUGGAUGCACCGUCUCAUAAGUUCUAACGGAACUGGGUUUUAAAGGAACCGGUAAAUGGGACGGGCACGUGACAUGGCGCGCCAAACGUGGGGCUACGGAGUGAAGGUCUAAAUAUUAGAUACCGGGCUAUCCGACGUAGAACUGUCUUUUAGGCUGAUAAAAGCUUGCGCGCUAAGGACCUAUUAAGCUUAUAACCUUGGAGUGAAAACCGCACCAGUUUCUCGAAAAGGAAAGAAAUCUGGGAGAACGGACGAUCAACUUAAAAAGGUAUAAAGAAAAUACGGCAUUCCGACGCAAGAAAAGCCAAGGAUAAAAGCUAGGCAAAAAAUAAAAAUAAAUAAAGAAUAAGAAAAACUUUUAACCAGCCAUGGCAGAUAGAUCUUUCAAUAUCCUGUAACCGGAGCUUUCAGAAUGAGGCUGGAAAAGCUAGUAUGGAGCUGCGGCGGGGCGCUGUCCGGGUGCUGAGGCACAAGUGAGAUGCGAUUAAACGUCAUGGCUGGAUCAAAAUCUAGUGAAGGACUGAUAUGUAAGAAUCUGUGUGACUUGGGCCUCGUUUCUGGUAACACGGGGAGGUAUUUGUCACGAACUGUAAAGUAAUCAUGUUUCCUAGCUUCAUAGAAUCUCAUGUCGGGCAUCGUCAUGCGCAAUGGAGGCUAGAAGCCGGGAACAUGUUUAAUGUGUGAACCUCUGUGCUUAAGGGCUCCGUGAGGGGAGAAACCGUGCCGCCUGUAAAGGACGGACUUAUAACUGGGAGCAUUGGAACUCUGCUCCAAUUAAACUUUGUUUUUAGAGGAUCUGCUUGAAACAAGCACCUAGCUUCCGCUCUCGGCAGCCUGCAGAUAUGAGAAGCCACAGCUGAACAGAGAAAAAGCACUCAGUCAGCUGAGCAACAACAGACAAGCAGGAUGUGGUGACAUCACCCCUCCCCCUACUAGUUCUGUUGAGAAGGGAGAGUCCUGAACUAACAGCUCCGUAUGAUUCUGACCUGACAGACAGCUACACUAAUAAUGCGUAAGCAUUUUUAACCUCGCUACAUAUGGUGUUGUAGGCAGGAUCCAUGUAGUGCUGUCAAGUAGGUCCAUGGAUGUGAAGUUUGUGGCACCCUGCGCGGGAGUACGAGGACGCGCUGGUGGAAAGAGGGGGGAAGGUGUGACAGUGUGAGCGUUCUGUCACAGUGUCUUGAUUGAUAAUGCAUACUGGCCAUUUGGCUAAGGGGAUGUCCCUUUGGCUGAGUGGUUAGAGCGUAUGACUCCCACCCCGGGAGUCUCGGGAUCGAAUCCCGCCCGGGCCCUCAUUAAUCCACCUUGCCACACUUUAUAGUUUUUAGCGUAAGCUUCCCACCUGCAGCUACAAGCAGAGUUAGCUUGUUGCUGUUCAGGUGUGUGAGGAGAAUAUUUGAAGCUCUGCAGUAAAAGAUGUCUUCAGUCUGGAGGGAGAGAGUCUCUGCUUGAAGGUGGAGACUGAGAUGUUCCAACCAGCAGCUCAGCUGACCAGAUGGCAGUAGAAACUGGUGGAGAAGCAGGAACCCAGUUCUGAACCCUCAUGAACAAACAUCUGGUUCUUCAGAGACUGAAGUGAGUGAUGAUGAUGAUGAUGAUGGUGUGUAUCUGGACUCUGAGCUAGUCAGACUCUGGGUCUGAGACUGGAGAUGAAGAUGAUCCAGAGGAGGAGGCAGCCCCACCCCAAAGAAGGCUGUUGCAGUCCCCUGGCUAGAUUUUUCUCGCAUGGGGGAUGUUGCGAGUCCCACAUGCCAAAGACAGUGGCAAGUACGGGGUCAGAAGGUGAGCCACACUGGACUGGCUUGUGCGAGCAAAAUCAGCCAGUCGACAGGAGCUGGGCUGCAGGUCAAAAAACUGUGGUCAGAAACAAGGGUCACACAAGGGUCACAGGGACAAGAGGACAGAACUGGGCGAAGGGUCAGGAGACUGACCCCACCUCUUUGCCCCACCCCUGGCUUGGAAAGAUGGGAUUGGAGGAGAACAGAAUGAAGACAAGCCCAUCCGAUCCAGAAGCCCUCUCGGGAACAUUGGAGAGAAACUGAAGAAUGCUGCAAAAGAUGAUGCAAUGACCUGUGUUAAGAAGGAAAAUGACACCAAAUGUUUUGUGUUGAGCUACAAAGUGUGUAUCUGGUAAAUGACCCCAUGACCUUAAGCUGGUCCAGGAAGGGUAUAUAAGAACAGCUCUGAACAGCAGAGACAGAUUGAGAGAUUCGACAGCAGCUGGGGCAGAGGACAAGAAGAGACAGAGCAGAUUUGGAGGGGUCAUCCCCCGUCCUGCUGGAUGGGGGAUGACAGGCAGUUUUUUGGAGAGAAGCAGAGCUAGACAAGUGAGUUCUUGGGGAGAUUCUGAGAAGACAAGAGCUGGUGUAAACUAACUCUUAUUUAAUCAUUUUGAACUAAUUCCUCCGUGGGGGAUAGCAGUUGUUUUUUCAUCUACCCAUUUUUGUAUUUUGAUUUUGUAAUAAACCUUUUUUGAAAAAGAAACAUAAUCCUGAUUCUUUCAGGUUUUCUCUAAAGCUUCACGAGUGGGGGCUCUGAUCAUUAAUUGCACAGAGGACGCCCAAACCAGGAUCUAAUACCAUAAUACUCACCGACAUCCCCAUCGAACCCUGAUGGAUGCACCGUCUCAUAAGUUCUAACGGAACUGGGUUUUAAAGGAACCGGUAAAUGGGACGGGCACGU